rnacentral:rRNA from 1 species
CAGUAGCCGGGAAUACAGAGGGUGCGAGCGUUAAUCGGAUUUACUGGGCGUAAAGCGUGCGUAGGCGGCUUUUUAAGUCGGAUGUGAAAUCCCUGAGCUUAACUUAGGAAUUGCAUUCGAUACUGGGAAGCUAGAGUAUGGGAGAGGAUGGUAGAAUUCCAGGUGUAGCGGUGAAAUGCGUAGAGAUCUGGAGGAAUACCGAUGGCGAAGGCAGCCAUCUGGCCUAAUACUGACGCUGAGGUACGAAAGCAUGGGGAGCAAACAGGAUUAGAUACCCCCGUAGUCCCUGUCUCUUAUACAC